rnacentral:rRNA from 1 species
CACGAGUAUGAUCGGCCUCCUUGUGGGAGCCGUGAAAUGGGUAAGCACGCAGCCAAGUCCUAAAGUCGCCUCUGGCGGCCAUGGAUGCAGUUCACAGGCCAAACGGCAGCGGGUGUGGUCAGCUAUUGGCCGCGCUCAAGAUAUGG